AACGAGAAGAGUUAUGACUCUAAAUCUACCUCUCUAUGCCUUCAAAUCAUGCUGUAAAAUUUUCACGAAGAGUAAACAGGGUUAUCAAAUGCAUAAUAUUAAAAAUUAUAUUUAUUUUAAAAGAAGCAGCAUCUGCAGCGCAUGUCAGAGGAAUUACUCAAAUCACAAGGUUUUCUACUCAGGACUUGCAUCAAUUUUGCUUACUCAGCUCUGGACCUUUGAAGAGUAUUUCUGGUCAGCUAAUAAUUUAGGGUUGCUGUUUCAUUAUUAGUUUUAAGGCUUAUCUUUGGUAGAAUGUUCUCAUUUAAAAAGUGGAGGGUACGACAUCCCCUUCAAUUUGCAAAAGUGUAGGAUAAAAGAUAUGUGGCAUUUCUGUUUUUAUGGGAAAGCAAGAUUGAGGCCAGUAAUACAGUUGGUUUUAUUCAUUAGUCAUGAAACUUAAUGUGGUUCACUAAUAGCUGGGAUGGUCAAAGCAACACAGUGCCUGGCUAAAAAGAUCUGAUUGUUAUUUUCUUUUACAUUUCCUACUAGUCUGCCAUGUAAUUUGCUGGUCACUAGACCCAAUUCUGCAAUUCACUGAGGUUUGCCUGACUAAACACUGAGAUUCUAGACCAAUAUUUGCAACUUGAACUAAAAGUGUGUAGUGUAUUUUGGUUCCACAGCAGAGGAAUAAAAUGCAUCAAUUAGUAUAAAUUUUCUCAUAAAGAGAAAAGUAAAUAUGGAUAAAAUGUAUAUCAAAAUUAAGUGCAGUUCAUCUCUUCUCAAUCAUGGUAAUUUAUAUUCCAGAAGCACUUGAGAAAUAAUUCAUGUUAAAAAAAAUAAAACUGCCUUGGAAAUAAUGAGGUUUUCCUCAUUAUUUUAAGAACUCUUUUCACUUACAAUUUAAAAAUAUUCACUCCUGGCAUGCAGGAAUCCAAAUAAUUUGUGUUAAAUCAACUUUUAAUUCUUUCCUGCCUGCUUUACAGAUAAACAUAUUUAAACUAAGCACUAUCAUAUUUAAACUAAGAAUUAUCACACUGUCACAAACCAUUCACAUCUUUCUUCUUCUCGAGAAAACACUAAAAUCUGAGAAAAAAAAAAUAGUGCUGAAAUUAAGACCUUCUUUGCCUUAAAUCCAAAAGCUUAAAGAAGGAGGCAGGACAACCCUCCCCCCUAAGCCUUGCCUCCCAAUGUUAUUUAUGUAUUAUUCUGCUGGUCCCUUUUUUUUCCUGUCAAUUUCUGUCCAUGCCAUUCCACGCACACAUUUCCUGGCAAGUCACAUCAUUAUCAUUUGUUAGUUUAAGGACUGGCUGUUAAAACAUAGUGAUCAGUGCUUAAUCAAAUAAAAAGGGAAGGAAAUUUUCUCCACACACCUCCACUGAGAACUGACGGAGGAACACAACAGAGUGAGUUCACAGCUAAUGUCACAACUGGACGUGUUGAUACACAGCUCUAUGAAGGAAAAAUGCUUUUUUUGCUAGCUCAGAAAAUGAGCAGGAGUUCAAGGGAACAGAUCAUUAUGUCCUUUUUUUCCUGCAUUUUUCUGAGCAUAACAGUGUCGUGCCACUGAAUUCUGUGCAAAGUGGAGUAGAAAAACAGAAGUCUAAAAUAACUCUGACCGGAGGACUGAAAAAAUAUCCCUAACCUAAAGGUCUGGUCUCUCCUGGCUCUGUGGGGCUCCUCCUACCUCGCCUUUUGCCAGCGCACUUGUCUAAGUCUAACCCCUACUUUUCCACUUAGGGCACCAGUAUUAAUUCCCCCGCAAAGUAAAUAACCUGGGAUUUUUUUUCUUUACCCAACAAUAUUAAAACAAGAAAAGAAAAGGCCCCACAGGAGGUGCAUUAACGAGCAACCUGUCAUCAAAACCUAAAUGAAUGGCUGAAAGCAUCGGGGCAGGGACAUUGGGAGCUAUUACCACGGUGUUCUGCUUUCUUUGCGAGAACGUGAGGUAAAGGAUGCCCAGUUUAGAGCCAGGGGCGCCUCACAGGGACACUAGCACCCCCAAGCAGCCCCCCCUUGGAGCUGGCACGUCUUUGGCGAGGGGCUCGCAAGCCGUGUGUCCCGGCACGGCAUCGCCGAGAGCGCCGCGAAAGGCACGCGCUGCUCUGAUCCUUUCGGGAUUUCAGCUCCCCGGGACGUCGGGGGCCGAUGAUGCCAAAGGGAUUUGGGAAGGGUAGGGGCCCCGCCAGGACCUCCCCUUCUCCUCCCGCCCUUCUCCCGGAGCGGCAGCUUACCUGAACACCGGUAUGAAGCAAGUGAGAUAAUGCUGAAAUAUGUGUUUUCUAAUGCCUACCUGCUCAGCACCUGUUAGAAAAUACCAGGAAGCUGUCCCCAUGGAAAAUGUCUCCUGAAUCAGACUGAAGGCAAUAAGAGAGUCUGUGGUUAAAACUGCCUACAACCAAGUUCUGAGAAUUGGUGUUGAGACUCCCAUCUUCAAAAAAAGCACAUAACUUGCUGGCAUAUAUGUGAUUGGCUAUGGAAGAUGGUCCGGCCAUGUGUGAGUCUUCACCCCACAGAUGUACUCCUUCUGUCAUGUGAUUGUCUCUGAUGGGCAAUAUGAUUUGUCCUAAGACAAGAUACCAGGAGGAACUCUCUGGAUCAUCUCAUAAGGAAUAUAUUCACUUUUAGACAGGUAUACUUCUGUGAAGAAGGCUUGCUACCAGCGGCAUGAUAGACAGAUUCUGCCUUCAACCAUAUAAUUUCGAUGUGCUUAACUUGUCUGUAGAGGAAAAUAAUCCCAGGAGACAGCUUCUGCAGCAAACUGGACAUUAGCCUGAACCUUAUCAUAUUAUUUCUUGCCGUUUUACGAAAAGACAUCUGAAUUAGCUGAAGCACCAAAAAGACCUGUUCUGGACACUGAGAGUCAUGUAUCUCUGCUAAAAGCUGGACCAGUGUGAUGGAAGGUUGUAAAUGCCUUGUCUGGCACUUAAAUGUCCGAGGAGGAAGUUCCAGAGGGUGUUUUGGCAUGGCAAGAAGAAUUUCUGCAGUCGACCUCCAUGAUGUCAAUGUGUUCAUACUUUUCUUCAGUUUGGAAAUCUCCAAAUCACUUCAGUGAAAACAGCAGUCUUAAGGGCAGGAAAGUAUGAUUGAACAAAGCUGUCACAGGGGAAGCCAUCCAGCAUUGCUCAUUGCCUUGGGGUCUGCAUGCCAUGUUCCUGGUCAAACUUAUGGACAACACAGAAGAGGAGUCCUCUAAUCUCAGACUGUGUUUGUUUUUUUGUUCUUUUCUUUUUUUUUGGGAAGAAAAAUCAACAGCUUAGUGAAAUUCAAUUAAUUAUUUUUCAGUACCUGCUGCUAUGUAGUUGAUAGCCAAAGCUCUCUAUAGAAAACAGUGUUGAAAAUGAAGUCCCAGAAAACGAAGUGUGCCAUUCAUAGACAGUAAAGAAGCCUUCAAAACUGGAGCCCAUUUAUCAGUGCCACACAUUCUGCCCUUGAAGUUGUUUAAUAUAUGUUUAUAUGUUUAAUAUAUGUAGAACACUGGCAUGAGGCAUGUACAGUCAUUGUUUCUCUUUGUACUUUUUUUGCUGCAGCAUCAGAAAGAGAUGUGUCAGCUGAAGCAUAUGUCGGGAUACCUGACAGAGUAAAAUUCCAGACACAGAACUCAAAUGCUGCAUUCAGGUCUUUUUGUGUAGGUAACCAGAUGCUAUUUAACAAAAAGAUGCCAUGUAACUAUUCACAGGGAAAAUAUUUGUAGUGAACACAUAAGCAAUGAAAGAAUGCAUUCUCGAAUAGUUUGAAAACAAUGGUGUAAAUGCAAUUUAUUUCCAAGGAAGUUGAAUUCAACAUCCUUCCAUACCAGCUCACACUGCUGCUGUUGCCUGUACUUUGUGUUUAUGGAAAGUAACAGCUGCAACAUCUGUUGUCAUCACAGCAUAUUUUCAGCACAUCAUUAACACACAUUUAUACCAUUUGUAUGGUCUUUUUCUUCUCCUCACUUCUUCAUCUGAGACCACUACUCAUCCUUCAAUAUAAACAGGUUGUGCUUAUAUUACCUGAGCCUCCAGAAGUUGAAAGACAUUCACAAUAUAUCUGGAUCUAUUGCCAAGUCCUUCUUGACUGGGAACAUGCAGAAGACUCUGGCUGGGAAAACCUCAGCAAUUAAAAGCAUUCAGGGUUCUUAAAAAUUAGUACUUUCUUCAUUUUAGUUUAUCUGAUUCAACAAGAAUGUCCCCUGAAGUCAACAUGUUAAUUUUUCUGGGGUGUCAGCAAAGACAGUAACCGAUCUCCUGGAUUUCCACAAAGCAUGUUUUCUUCUUAAACCAGUUGGAUCAAACAAGGGAUUUAAAAUCUUCAUUUUCACUGGUUUGUUCUUUUAUUUUUUAUCUUGCUACUUACAAGGAAGAAACAGUAAUCAGCCAGCUAACAAGUAACUCAUACACUCAAAUUUCAUGGUUCUUUCACACUGUCAUCCAUAUUUAUAAAUCUGCUGUGAAAUUCACCUCUAAUUUUAGUAGGGCCUUGUCUACUAGAAAGAUGAAAAAAUAGCAAGUGUUUGUCAUCAGGCUGUUACAGAUGAGGAGAACCGAGUCUGAUGACAUGUCUUUAGUCGCCUCUUUCACUUUCUCUCAUUCAGUUUGUGGGUGUUUGGUUUUCACUCAAAGCCUGACAGUUUGAUUCACAGGUUAUUUGAGCUGACCAGUGCUGUGUAAUAUCAACCUCCAUGCAACACUCUGGGUCACACCUGCACAUUUAGCUAGCUAGGCCGGUGUUGCUCCACACAUCCUCCUUCACCACUCAAACACAACAAAAGAUCGUGAUCAAUAUGAGCACAACACAGUUUCAAAACCAUUCCAAAAUUAAAGCCCCAACAUUCAAUGAUCUAUGACUAAUUGCUGAUGUCUCAGGUGAUUGCCUGAGAGUAGAGUUUAACUUUUGGUAGCUGUUGACAAUAUUGACAGUCAUCGAUAGUCAUCUAAGAUUGCUGUCUGUGUUCACCCCGUCCAGGUAAAAAAGCCAGUUAAGAAACUCAUAUAUUUCUUCUUUAUUUGAGCUAAAGAGGGUAUAGUUGAGAUGUCUUUACUGGGGGACUGUUUGAAAUUGUGUUAGUGUUCAACUUGGGUCACUGGUAUUAUCUGUGAUUGUUAUAA